CCUUUCUCAACCAGCAGCACACUCUGUAAACAACAGUGGAGUACAGGAAGAGGAAACCCCUAGCAUAGAAUUUGACACAAAUCAGGCAUCCAGCAAAUGGGAGCAGAGUAAAUGUCAUCCUCAAAGACACCUUUCAGCAUGGAAUCGUGAUAUACCAUUUAACAGCGUGUGCCUGACAAAAAAUCGAAAGAGAAAGCAGGAAAAUCCCUGUAUAUGGAAACAAGCUGAAGAAAAGAAAAGGAACAAAUGUUGAAACUUAUCUCUCAAGCCCUAAAUUUUUUUGUUCAUUUCCGGAUUUGCUUCCUCUUAGAAAAGCUACUCCCUAUUGACUCAGAGAAGUGCUUUCCACAGGGCUCAGGGCAUGCACUUUGCUUAUAUGUGGUCUGGUUAAUAAGGGCUUCCUCUGUGAGGAGGAUCAGAGCAACUGACCUCAUACUUGCAAAUAAACUUCUUAAUGUCCCCCCAAAUAAACAUCACUUGGUGUUUUAAGUACAUAAAAGAAAUUGUGGGUGAUUACAAUGCAUAAAAAUGAAAGAAGAGCAAAUGCUGAAAUGGUACAGCAAUGUGACUUCUGGCAAACCCUACUUCUAUGGAUCUCAUUUUUCUCAUCUGUAAGAAAAGAGGGAUAGCCCCCAGUGGUUCUUGCCUCUGGAUAUUCCUGAAUGUGUGUAGUUCCUUCCAACAUUAAAUAUGACUGACUAGAAUAAUAAAUAGUAUAUAAACAAAACAA